CAGUCGCCACGGUAAUACGAAGGGGGCUAGCGUUGUUCGGAAUUACUGGGCGUAAAGGGCGCGUAGGCGGCGGAUCAAGUCAGGCGUGAAAGCCCCGGGCUCAACCUGGGAAUUGCGCUUGGGACUGGUCUGCUUGAGUUCGGGAGAGGUGAGUGGAAUUCCCAGUGUAGAGGUGAAAUUCGUAGAUAUUCGCAGGAACACCAGUGGCGAAGGCGGCUCAUUGGCUCGAUACUGACGCUGAGGUGCGAAAGCGUGGGAGCAAACAGGAUUAGAUACCCCCGUAGUCCCUGUCUCUUAUACA
rnacentral:rRNA from 1 species